rnacentral:rRNA from 1 species
AUGAACGCUGGCGGCAGGCCUAACACAUGCAAGUCGAGCGCUACCUUCGGGUGGAGCGGCGGACGGGUUAGUAACGCGUGGGAAUAUACCCUUCACUAUGGAAUAGCCUCGGGAAACUGAGAGUAAUACCAUAUACGCCCUUCGGGGGAAAGAUUUAUCGGUGAAGGAUUAGCCCGCGUAAGAUUAGAUAGUUGGUGGGGUAAUGGCCUACCAAGACUAUGAUCAAUAGCUGAUUUGAGAGGAUGAUCAGCCACAUUGGGACUGAGACACGGCCCAAACUCCUACGGGAGCAGCAGUGGGGAAUCUUGC